ACCUACGGGGCGCAGCAGUAGGGAAUUUUCGUCAAUGGGCGCAAGCCUGAACGAGCAAUGCCGCGUGAACGAGGAAGGUCUUCGGAUCGUAAAGUUCUGUUGAAGGGGAAAAAGAGCGGAGAGAGGAAAUGCUUUCUGAUUGAUAUUACCCUUCGAGGAAGUCACGGCUAACUACGUGCCAGCAGCCGCGGUAAUACGUAGGUGGCGAGCGUUAUCCGGAAUGAUUGGGCGUAAGGGGUGCGUAGGCGGCCUGCUAAGUCUGGAGUGAAAGGUACCGGCUCAACCGGUACAGGCUCUGGAAACUG
rnacentral:rRNA from 1 species